rnacentral:rRNA from 1 species
UACGUAGGGGGCGAGCGUUGUCCGGAUUUAUUGGGCGUAAAGCGCGCGCAGGCGGUUCAUUAAGUCUGGUGUGAAAGCCCCCGGCUCAACUGGGGAGGGUCACGCGAUACUGAUCGACUCGAAGGCAGGAGAGGGUAGUGGAAUUCCCGGUGUAGUGGUGAAAUGCGUAGAUAUCGGGAGGAACACCAGUGGCGAAGGCGACUACCUGGCCUGUUCUUGACGCUGAGGCGCGAAAGCUAGGGGAGCAAACGGG